UUUUCUUAUGAUAAUCAACACUAUAAAAGAGGUAUUGUUGUCAAGGGCAAAAAUAAGUAAAAUUAUAAAAUGAACGAACUACAUUUUUCCGUCAAUUGUUUAAUUAACCAUUGCAUCUCUAAAAGACCAUCUCAGCCUUUCACUGAGCAACGCAUUUUUAAUGUCCCCUCUCUUUGUCAUAACGUUUUUCCGAACGUAAUAAAAACAAACAAAGUCAGAGUCACGUAAAUGUUUACUCCUGCGAUUUGGAAAUAUUCGAUAAAAAGUGGAAGGAAGAGCUGCCAGAUGAUUUUUAAAAAAAGUCUGUAAAAACAUGUGAAUGUCUGUUAAAAAUGUGGAAAAGUCUGUAAAAGUGUGCAGAUCUAUAGAAAUGUCUUUUAACGUUAAUUUUCACUUAUUCAUUAAUACUUUGUACAUCACGAUGCACGUAAGAUUGUAUUCUGUAUAUAUAUAUAUACAGCCAUUCCAUGCCAAACUAAUAUAGUGGUUCUCAGCUCUUCGUCAAAAGUGGUAAUUUUGUUCUUUAUCGCAAAACAUUAAACUCGUAUUUUUUUAAUUUGUCAUUAGGGUGCCCAUUUCCAUUUUAGGGUGAUCCCAAAAAUCAUUUUUUCCACUUUUUCCCAAAAUGACUUUUUUCAAAAAUUUAUAACUUUCGAACCACUCAACCGAUUUAGAUGAUCGACAUAUCAAAUUUAAGCCAAUGAGCUUUAAUUGAGAAAUAUUUAACUUGCAUAUAAUAUGGAUCCUAUUUUUAAUAUGGAUUGAAAGCUGAGAACUUUUGCAUAAAAUAUCUCGAUAUCAGAGAUGCUAUUUUUUUCGUUUUUGAAAUAUGAUUUUGCAAAACUAAUCGAUGGUUCGAAAAACAAUUUUUCCCCAUUUUUCCCACUACAAAAAGUCAUAACUUUCGAACUAUUGGACCGAUUCAUAUCAUCGACAUAUCAAAUUGAAGCUUACGAGAUAUAUUUUUUUAAAAAAUAUUACUUUUGCGAAAAAAUUGAAUUUUGUUUUUGUAAUUAUGGAUUGAGUUAGUUUUUCAUAGUUUUCUCGGUUAAAGAUAGGAGCGCUAUAUUUUUUUAUAUUUUUUUAUGGAAAGCUGAGGAGUAUUUACUUAACAUAUCUCGAUAUCAGAGAUGCUAUAAUUAUUGUUUUUAAGUUAGAAUUUUGUAAAUUUAACAUGUUUUAAGUCUUCGAUCAAUAUUCAUAUGUGACUAAACUAGACCUAUGCUACUAGAAUCCAAUCUUCCCGCAAGUGUGAGUUUUGCUUAUUGGCUUCAAUUUAAUAUAUCGAUCAUCUAAAUCGGUUCAGUAGUUCAAAUGUUAUGAUUUUUUGCAGAAAGUUAUUUUUGGACAAAUGAGGAAAAAUGAUUUUUUUUAAAAUCAUAUCUAAAAAACGAAAAAAUAGCAACCCUGAUAUCGAGAUAUGUUGUGUAAAAAAUCCUCAGCUUUCAAGAAAAAAUAUAAAAAUAUAUAGCGCCCUCUAGUCCAAAGUCAUAAAAAAAAUAAAAAACGACUACAAUCAAUAAUUACUAAAAUAUAAUUAUGUUUUUCGCAAGUUAAAUAUUUUUUUAUAAAAGGCUAGGUCAAUUUUAUAUGUCGAUCAUCUAAAUCGAUUCAGUGAUUCAAAUGUUAUUAAUUUUCAUUUGUCAUUUUUGGGAAAAAGUGGAAAAAAAAAUAUUUUUCGGACCACUUAAUAACUUAUGUGCUGUAAGUGUGUUUAAAUGUUUCAACGAUCUACACAUACAUACAUACACAUACAUACACAAACAUACGCGUUGUUAAUUUUUAUAAAACACAGUAUUUCUCCGUUGAUAUAUUGGACAUUCACCAAGGCUUGCGGUCUUGUCGUUUUUAUUUUAAAAAAAAUGCAGUGUAUAUUUUCCAUCCGCCAUGCAAGGCUAUACAAGUUUUAGACCACCACACGGCCAUGAACCAUGUCUGUCGUAACAAUAUCGAACAGUAACCCAUAUUUCGUCAUAAGCAGACACGAAAGCAAAUGUAAGUUGUUGAAAAUAGAAUGAAAAUUUUUAUUCGAUGUUGUUUAAAUACAUAGGUUGCAUAGUCCUGACCCUAACUUCACUAUUUUUCAAUAAAUCUCCUUGCAUUUCAGCAAAACAAUCUUGUCUAGAACAGAAAAUAAUUAUCAGAGACAAUUUUCGUUCAAGAUUUUUCCUUACCUGCAGAGAAUGCAAUUGUUCAUUAAUUGUGAAUAACCGUAUCCUCUUUUUCGUCUGCAAUGAUGUCAAGGCAAAAGUACUUAUGUGUAUGAGUUCCAAACAUCAUACACACCAGAUGGGCCAACAAGAAGGACUGCCGGGCCGCAGGUUGAAUAUCGCUGGUCUAACGUCAUGUGUAUUGAUAUAUACUAAAUAUAAUAACUUUUCUGUAUUAAAACUAUGGAAAAAUGUCAUAUGGUGAGUCAAAUAUUUUUGAUGUGAUGAAUAGAUGUGAUGAAUGUUUUACAGAUAUGUCUGUAAAUUUACAAACAUAUUUGUAAAUCUGGCAUCUCUGGUGGUCUGAGAAUUUAUUGCAAGAAAUCGCUUGAAAACAUGCAAGAAUUUGCUUGAGAAUGAAGUGGAUUGAGUCCGCACCACUUAGGUUUGAACGACUCCUUGAAACAAUGGAAGCGAACGUAGAUAUUGCUCGAGAUCUUUGUGGAGGCAGUUCUAAUAUAAUCCCGGUGUAGGAAAAGUUGGAGGAAUCCAGAGAGGAACUUAAUGCACUGAGACCACCAAUGCAUCUAGGUUCAGAAUGGCAGAAAAUUUGGAUUGACAUGAGUGGAAAGGUAAAGAAAACACUAGCACACAACAAGCGAGAAUUUAGAGCAACAGGUGGUGGCCCCAAUACAAUAAAGCUAUCGACGCUAAAAGAGAAUUACAUGUUGCAUUACAUGAAUAACAAAAAUUGUUUUGCUAUGCAUGACUCUUCACGGAAUUCCAUAGAUUUUUUAAUAAUUAUAUUUUUUGUACAGCAAAUUGUUCCAUGCUGUCGUUUUUAUAACACAUGCAUGCGUGCCUUACGCCUAUUAAGCUUUAUUCUUUGAGGGAAUAUCAAUUUACUCCAAAACAUAACCAUAUUAACACUUUUGGAAAUACAUUUUCAUAGCAGAUGCCUCAAAAAAAUAUUUGGCAUCCUUUUUAUAGUGCUUCAUGAAACAUUUCAAACUUGUUUCAAAAUAUUUCAUCACAACCGUUGACAGUCGAGCUUGCUAACGAAUCGAGCAGUUUUCCUCGAUUUCUAUAAUUCCAGAUUUUACUCUGUGUGAUAGUGAUAGUGAUUGUAUCGAAUCCUCGAUUCGAUUUCUAUAAUAGGGCCCUAUACAAGCGUAUAUUUCAGUGGCUGAAAACGAAUGGACACACAAAUCACCAGCAGUUUGAAC